rnacentral:piRNA from 1 species
UGUAAGCACUGUUCCCGUUUG